rnacentral:rRNA from 1 species
CCUACGGGAGGCAGCAGUGGGGAAUAUUGGACAAUGGGCGAAAGCCUGAUCCAGCAAUUCCGCGUGUGUGAAGAAGGCCUUCGGGUUGUAAAGCACUUUAGUGGGGGAAGAAACAGCUUGGCCACACCAAGCCUUGACGGUACCCCAAGAAUAAGCACCGGCUAACUCUGUGCCAGCAGCCGCGGUAAUACAGAGGGUGCAAGCGUUAAUCGGAUUUACUGGGCGUAAAGGGUGCGUAGGUGGCUAUUUAAGUCGGAUGUGAAAGCCCGGGGCUCAACCUCGGAAUUGCAUUCGAUACUGAGUGGCUAGAGUUCGGUAGAGGGCGGCGGAAUUUCCGGUGUAGCGGUGAAAUGCGUAGAUAUCGGAAGGAACAUCAAUGGCGAAGGCAGCCGCCUGGGCCUGGACUGACACUGAGGCACGAAAGCGUGGGUAGCAAACAGGAUUAGAUACCCUGGUAGUCCACGCCGUAAACGAUGAGAACUUGACGUUGGUUCGUUUUACGAAUCGGUGUCGCNGCUACGACGAUAAGUUACUCCGUCCGUCGGGGUAGGUACGGGCCGGCCGAACGGUUAGGUAAACGUACAAUAGAAGUUAGUACGGCGUGAGACGUCGCCGAACGGACGACCGACGAGGGAGGUUAGG